rnacentral:rRNA from 1 species
GACGAACGCUGGCGGCGUGCCUAAUACAUGCAAGUCGACCUUAGUGGCGAACGGGUGAGGAGCACGUGGGUGACCUGCCCAUAAGACGGGGAUAACCCUUGGAAACUGGUGCUAAUAGCGCCUACUGAUGGAUGGACGCGCGGGGCAUUAGCUAGUGGGUGGGGUAACGGCUCACCAAGGCCACGAUGCAUAGCCGGCCUGAGAGGGUGAACGGCCACACUGGGACUGAGACACGGUCCAAACUCCUACGGGAGGCAGCAGUAGGGAAUAUUCGGCAAUGGGCGAAAGUCUGACCGAGCCACGCCGCGUGAAUGAAGAAGGCUUUCGGGUCGUAAAGUUCUGUUGUUAGGGAAGCGGUAUCUAACGAGAAAGCCCCGGCUAACUCCGUGCCAGCAGCCGCGGUAAUUC